AGAGUUUGAUCAUGGCUCAGAACGAACGCUGGCGGCAGGCCUAACACAUGCAAGUCGAGCGCGCCCUUCGGGGUGAGCGGCGGACGGGUUAGUAACGCGUGGGAAUAUACCCGACACUAAGGAAUAGCCUCUGGAAACGGAGAGUAAUACCUUAUACGCCCUUCGGGGGAAAGAUUCAUCGGUGACGGAUUAGCCCGCGUUAGAUUAGAUAGUUGGUGGGGUAAUGGCCUACCAAGUCUACGAUCUAUAGCUGGUUUUAGAGGAUGAUCAGCAACACUGGGACUGAGACACGGCCCAGACUCCUACGGGAGGCAGCAGUGGGGAAUCUUGGACAAUGGGCGCAAGCCUGAUCCAGCCAUGCCGCGUGAGUGAUGAAGGCCUUAGGGUCGUAAAGCUCUUUCGCCAGAGAUGAUAAUGACAGUAUCUGGUAAAGAAACCCCGGCUAACUCCGUGCCAGCAGCCGCGGUAAUACGGAGGGGGUUAGCGUUGUUCGGAAUUACUGGGCGUAAAGCGCGCGUAGGCGGAUUAGUAAGUUAGAGGUGAAAUCCCGGGGCUCAACCCCGGAACUGCCUUUAAUACUGCUAGUCUUGAGUUCGAGAGAGGUGAGUGGAAUU
rnacentral:rRNA from 1 species